rnacentral:lncRNA from 1 species
CCUUGGAAAGAUGAGGAGGGAUUUUUAAUAUGUUCAGAAAUAUUUAUCAGUGCAGAAACUGAAUGUUUAGAAGCCACUGCAAUGAAGAUUAAAUUGGAGCAUUCAGGUUAAUGGAUGGCUAACAUUGUACUGAAGUCUUUAAUACAGGACAGGGAUCAUUUUCGGUACUUUACGAAGACUUUAUUUUAUUUUGAUAAUUCUGUAAGUAUUCUAUCAGGGUCCAGGGAGAAAACACUUAGGAUGCUUACUUAGGGCAAUCUGAGGAGAGAUCAAUCAAGGGACUGAUUCAAAUGUGUGCUUUAGAAACAGGGACGCCAAAAGAUGCACGCGGUAUCCCUGGGGUAGAACAAAAGGGGCUCUGUUGCUACCAGUAGCACUGAAAGGGCAGAGAGAGGAAGUGGUAAUUAUACCAGCACAUAGAGAGGGGAGGGUGCAGGAGGCCAUGUUAUGGGAGCUGAGAUCACAAUGGAGCCAUGCCAAUGCCUUGACCUUGCAAGAGAACCAGAGCCAGUGGAAGGAACACUAUAUCAGCGAGAUGCCAGAAAAACAAAAGGAAACAAAAAACAUCAUUAAACCUGCCUUUGGAAGCAUGUGAGACUUAGAAUAAAUAACAAGAAAGAAUAUUGAAAAUUGGAUUUCCCAAAGAAUUAAGAGUUCAUUCUCCUAUCUACUGACAAUGAGCUACUUGAUGAUGGCACCAGUACCUGUUUCUUCCAAAAUGCUCCCACUGUGGCCAGGCUCGGGCUACCUACCGCAGCCCCCGAGGCGGAGAGGCAGGCAGUCGCCUGCACAAACGCCACUGGAGCCACCUGCAGCACAUCGCUGGCUGUGCCAGGUGAUGCCAUUAACUUCCAGCUCCCUCUUCAUGAGCCUGGAACUGCAUCCUACGACCACUUCUCCUGCACCAGUUGACCCUGUGAGGCAUUCUGCUAGGAGGCCACAGGAGAGAUACUGGAAGACCAGGGCAGGCCCAGAUCUUUGUCCGUGGCUCUGCUGCCCUCUCCUCCAGCAAAGCAGCCAAUGGAUUAUGAAGGAAAAGAUAAACAGCCAUGAUAGAAAGUUUCCCAGCCAGUUGAUUUAG